rnacentral:rRNA from 1 species
CGAGAAGCUUCGGCAAUGGGGGAAACCCUGACCGAGCGACGCCGCGUGUGCGAUGAAGGCCUUCGGGUUGUAAAGCACUGUCGUGUGGGGAGAAAGGUCUGCCGGCAAACAGUCGGUGGGCCCUGACGGUACCACAGAAGGAAGCUCCGGCUAACUCCGUGCCAGCAGCCGCGGUAAUACGGGGGGAGCGAACGUUGUUCGGAAUUACUGGGCGUAAAGGGCGCGUAGGCGGCCUUGUAAGUGGGAUGUGAAAGCUCCUGGCUCAACCAGGGAACUGCGUCCCAUACUGCGAGGCUUGAGUGCAGGAGAGGAUGGGGGAAUUCCCGGUGUAGCGGUGAAAUGCAUUGAUAUCGGGAGGAACACCAGUGGCGAAGGCGCCCAUCUGGUCUGCUACUGACGCUGAUGCGCGAAAGCCGGGGGAGCAAAC